rnacentral:rRNA from 1 species
GACGAACGCUGGCGGCGUGCUUAACACAUGCAAGUCGAACGGAAAGGCCCUGCUUUUGUGGGGCGCUCGUGUGGCGAACGGGUGAGUAACACGUGAGUAACCUGCCCUUGACUUUGGGAUAACUUCAGGAAACUGGGGCUAAUACCGGAUAGGAGCUCCUGCUGCAUGGUGUGGGUUGGAAAGUUUCGGCGGUUGGGGAUGGACUCGAGGCUUAUCCGCUUGUUGGUCGGGUAGUGGCUUACCAAGGGUAUGACGGAUAGCCGGCCUGGGAAGGGAACCGGGCUCAAGGGGCCUGCGGGAGGGACCAGAAGCCUACCGGACGCAGCAGUGGGGAGUAUGACGCAACGAGGCGAAGUCUGAGACAGCAAUCCCGCGAUCGGGAUGCCCGCCUACUGGGUGAAAACAGAUUUGGACGGAGAUGAAGAGAGAGUGACGGUAAUUAGUAAAGAAGCACCGGCUAACUACGUG